rnacentral:rRNA from 1 species
CAAUAGCGUAUAUUAAAGUUGUUGCAGUUAAAAAGCUCGUAGUUGGAUUUCUGGUGGGAGCGAUCGGUCUGGCGCUUAGCGCGAGUACUUGCAUCGUCUCCGGCCAUCCUUGGGGAGAGUCUGUCUGGCAUUAGGUUGUCGGGCAGAGGAUCCUCAUCGUUUACUGUGAAAAAAUUAGAGUGUUCAAAGCAGGCUUAUGCCGUUGAAUAUAUUAGCAUGGAAUAAUAAGAUAGGACUUUGGUACUAUUUUGUUGGUUUGCGCACCAAAGUAAUGAUUAAUAGGGACAGUUGGGGGUAUUCGUAUUCCGUUGUCAGAGGUGAAAUUCUUGGAUUUACGGAAGACGGACUACUGCGAAAGCAUUUACCAAGGAUGUUUUCAUUAA